rnacentral:rRNA from 1 species
UACGGAGGAUCCGAGCGUUAUCCGGAUUUAUUGGGUUUAAAGGGUGCGCAGGCGGGAGAUUAAGUCGGCGGUGAAAUUUUGCAGCUCAACUGUAAAAGUGCCUUCGAAACUGGUUUCCUUGAGUGUGGAUGAAGUAGGCGGAAUUUGUGGUGUAGCGGUGAAAUGCAUAGAUAUCACGAGGAACUCCGAUUGCGCAGGCAGCUUACUAAACUACUACUGACGCUCAUGCACGAAGGCGUGGGGAUCAAACAGGAUUAGAUACUGGUA